GGGGCUGUAAUGGUUUCGACGUGUUAGUGAAAGCUGCGCUGUGAUGCAGGUCGAGAGGGAGUCCACUCUCGUAAAUCAAGGCUCAAACGCAAUGUAAAUGCGAACGAAAUCAAGCCCUUUGCUCGUAAAGCUGCACCUGUUGCUGCUUAGGGAUUAAAAACUCGAGCGUCUGCUGUUCGACUCCGUUAAGGAUAGUGGACAAACCCCAACGGAUGCUCUUACUUAGUACCUUUGGUUGCCGAGUAAGCUAAGAACUCACCAGAGAAUCCCACCGUCGGGGAUAAGCUACGGUUCCCGCCCUAAGGAUUAGAGGGGCUAAGCCUGUGAAAGAGCACGAGGUCAAUAGCUAGGGCGGACAGCGGUUCGAUUCCGCUCAGCUCCAUUA
rnacentral:tmRNA from 1 species